UAUGUAUCCUAAAAUAUAUCUCACUAUUUAACAUAAAGCAGGAGACGAGUCCUAUUCCCUUUUCUGUAUAAUUCGGGAUGUGAAAAUAAGGUUGCCUGAAUGACAGGAGAGAAAACAUAGCAGUCGAUUUUUGAUCGUUCAAGUUUCAUUGUGAACAAGUUUUCCGAACGUUACAGUUGGCGUGUUGAUGUAGUUGGUUUAAAUCAUAACUUGAUCUGAAUGAAGAGACUACAAAAUAAUGAUCACAAAAAUAAUAGAAUUAUGCCUUAUUUAUUAAUUGUCACCGGGUUCAACGUUAAUUACACAUUACUAUAUUAAUGAACUAGCUUAGCCUCUGUUAUUCUGAAAUCUAAAGAAUUGCACUGAACAAACUAUCUUCCUGGUGCAUAUAGCUCUGGAUACCUGUCGCGCUUGACUUUCACUUGUAUGUUAUGACCGAGUCCAAAUGACACUUGAAGUUGUUGAUCACUUCGGGUUCAAACGAUUUCGAAGAGAUGCGUUUGAAUGAAUUGUCGGUACAGAUUAACCGUAAAACAUUGACAGUUCCCGCGAAAAUUGGCUACGGAAAUUAGACCACCACAGCUGCAACUCGGCCCUCAUUCUUAACGACUACAAAAUAGUUGCUUAGGUGAGCGUGUUUUUUUUUUCUUUUCUUUAACAAUGUAUCAUUUGUCUCUGAUAGAAGGGUAUAUUUUUCCAACAACAUCAUUCAAUUCAACUCAAGUGUUGUUAAAUGUCGAUGAUUGUAACUAAAUAGAAAACAAACCAGUGACUGUGUGGUGCUAAGUUGCGGCGCAUUAUCAAACCCUGUACCACGGUUAUUAAAAUUUUCAAGAGAACACUCUCCAUACAAGCUCCACUGAUAUUGUUCGCAUCAACGUCUUUCUCGUUUUCACAUUUUAGUUAACCUCAGUAGUUCGGACAUUUGCAUCGAUAUCAAAAAUGAAUUUAUUAUAUAAAGUAACAAUUGUUGUCGUGAAAAUCUCAGCCAAUGAUUGCUUGUUCUUCUUUAAAAGUUCCAAAACAGUUACUGUCUUGGUAAUGAACACUGCGGCAUUGCCAGAGACAUAUAGUACAAUUGCGCAAUAGCAUUGUUUCGUUCAAUGGGCUAUUAGUCCGUACCACUUGGUGAAUAUUCGUAACACACUUUUGUCAAUUUUCCUAUGGAGAAUGUAUUGCAGACAAACUAUUCCAGAUUGAAUUAAUUUCUUGUCUCCAAAUUUUUGCAGGAAUAAAAGUGGGCGAUUGGAAAAUCGUGUUCUUCUGAUUUCAGUGCCUCCAGUGCCAAUGUCGAAUUCGAAAACUUCAGAAUAUCUCGUUAUACCUGGGAAUAUUAUACUACGACUUGUCAAUAAAUUGUGUCCCUGGCCAUCCGUAGUAUAUAUUAUUGUAGUAGUCCAGUUAUUGUAGCGACGGGGAAGAUCUCCAUCGCUUCCACUUGAAUACAAAAGUAAUCACUAAUAAAGUCAGCGAAAAUGUCAUUAUCAUCGACAAGAACUCUGUCACUUUGUCGGAUUUCAUAGCUGCUUCUUUUGUGCAAAUUGAAUAUUUUGUUUGCAGUUAUAUAAGAUUAUUUUCAAAAGUUAUAUAAUUAAGAUACAGAGGUAAUGUACAACACCGAGAGACUCUAAUCAAAAUGUUUGGUUUUCUCUGGACUGUACCUUUACACAAUACUAUACAAAUUUAACUAGGGCACAUCAAGUUAUAAAUAACAUAAUACGAUGUGCAUAUUGACAAG
rnacentral:lncRNA from 1 species